UUCAGUCAGAUGUUGGUUGGACUUCAGAGCUGAAGCCACAACUUCACAUUCAGCCUGUCUGAGUUGACAGCCACCAAGUCUGUGAUUAGAGAAGAAAUAAUGUCAGUUCUAAUUAAACCAGAUAAUCUAUAGAAACACACAUAAUAACACUGAUAUCAUCAGAUGAACAUCUGGUCUUCACAUCAAUUUACUGAGUUUGAUCAUUUCAUAAUUAACAUCAUGGUUCUGGUUCUGCUUCAUGUUCUCAGAACAACUGAAGGUUUUAGCUGCGGCCAUCUUGGCUGCCUGUUAGCAAACCUCCCUGUUUCUUCAUGCUGAGCUCUGACUGCUGCAGCAACAAUCUGGAUCAGAAGAUCUUCAUCACAUGACUUUAAAACAUGAUUCUCAUUGGAAGAUGAAGGAACGGAUGAAAUCAGUGGAGCUGAUAUCCUAACAGACCCAACAUGGUGGAGCGGAUGGUGAUGAUCAGAAAAUCAUUUCUAUUCAUUCAUUUUCUAGAGAAACUUCAGCUUCUAGGAUCCUGGUUCCUCUCUGUCUCCAGCAGCCAAUGACUGAGAGGCAGGAGAAACUCUGGAAAGGAGGACAAUUCAUCUGACCAAUCAAUGAUUUUAUUAAAUAUUAAAACCAUCUGCAGUAAAACAGCAGAACUCAGUAAAUAUCUUCAGGUGUCCAUAUUAGGAUCUAACUGUCUGCUGGAUGUAAAUGUAAUCAAAGCAUCUUCAUCUGGAUCCAACAUCCAGAUGAACUCCUGACACUAAACAGUCACCAAGCUCUCCUUCCUGAGGAAACCAGGAGCUGCAGCUGCAGCCAGAUGUUGAAGAUCUUCUAUCAGUCUGUGAAGGAAAGUUCAGUUUCCUUCACAGACUGCCCCCCACCACCUUACUAUAGAUAUGAAAUAUAGAUCAUGAUGGAAA